GAUGAACGCUGGCGGCGUGCUUAACACAUGCAAGUCGAACGGGAAACCUUUUAUUGAAGCUUCGGCAGAUUUAGCUGGCUUCUAGUGGCGGCCGGGUGAGUAACGCGUGGGCAACCUGCUUUAUACAGGGGGAUAACAACAAGAAAUGGUUGCUAAUACUGCAUAAGCGCACAGGACCGCAUGUUUCGGUGUGAAAAGCUCCGGUGGUAUAAGAUGGACCCGCGUUGGAUUAGCUAGUUGGCAGGGUAAUGGCCUACCAAGGCGACGAAGCAUAGCCGGCCUGAUAACGUGAACGACCAGGUUGGGGCUGAGGCACGGCCUAGUCUCCUACGGAGGAGAGCAGAGGGGAAUAUUGCACAAUGAGGGAAGCCGUAAUACCGCGGCGCGGCGUGAAAGGAGAAGUGUCUCGGAAUGUAAUCUUCUAUCAGCCGAAAAGAUAGUGACGGUACCGGACAAAGAAGCCCCGGCUAACUACGUG
rnacentral:rRNA from 1 species